rnacentral:rRNA from 1 species
UACGUAGGGUGCAAGCGUUUGUCCGGAAUUAUUGGGCGUAAAGAGCUCGUAGGCGGUGUGUCACGUCGUUCGUGAAAACCUGCAGCUUAACUGUGGGCGUGCGGUCGAUACGGGCAUCACUGGAGUUCGGCAGGGGAGACUGGAAUUCCUGGUGUAGCGGUGAAAUGCGCAGAUAUCAGGAGGAACACCGGUGGCGAAGGCGGGUCUCUGGGCCGAUACUGACGCUGAGGAGCGAAAAGCGUGGGGAGCAAACAGG